rnacentral:lncRNA from 1 species
GCAAGCCUGGAGUUCUGAUGUCCAAGGCAGCAGAUGAAAAGUCUGUCCCAGUUCUCAGAGACAGUCCAGUUUGCCUUCAGUAUUUGUUCUUUUUGGGCCCCUCACCUGUUGGAUGAUGUCCACCAACACUUCCCCGCCUAAUCCAUUCAGGCGCACACUCUAUCUCCUUUGGAAACACCCUCACGGAUACAUCCAAAAUAAUGCUUUACCAGGUUUCUAGGUAUUCCUUAACCCAGUCAAGCUGACACCUAAAAUUAAGUCCACCAGUUCAAUCCUUAUCAAUUUGGCAGCCACAGGCAUGUCUUCAAACAAGACUUAAUUUCCAAAUAAAGACAAUAGCAUGUCUUUAUUUGGUUUUGUUUAACAUGUAUGCAACUGUCCUGUGCUUGUGAUUUUCAGGAUUUUAGACAUUAGGGAUUUAGACUUUAGGGUUUUGAUCUUUCAGGAUUUCAAUAUUCAGGAUUAUGGCAUCCAGGAUUAUAUCUUCUGGGAUCAUAAUCCAACCCCCUACUAACUUUCUAUUUUCAGAUUUCCUAGAAAUUGUAAUCAACCAGAAUCCUGGAGAAGUAAAAGCUUGAAAGGAACCUAAUGUGUGAGGGAAGUGGACCUGAGUGAUACAAGGAAAGAAGCAUAGCAGACAACACUCGUGUUCUGUCCAGAUCUCCUGGGUUUCCUUCCAUUGGUUCAGCGUGCCCAUUCUCCAGAUGCUACAGGUUCUGUUGCUAACAGCUCACACCUGCAAUAGUCUCAGGAGGAUUGCCCUUGGCAGAUUGAAGCAACAUCAUCAGGAGGUGUCUGGAAGUUAUGUACUCAUGUCUGUAACAGCCUGUGAACAAUGACUGCCUGAUGUCUGAUAUGGAGGUACAAAAGAAGUCUCACUCCCUUGCCACCAGGGCUGCCCUUUUGAAGAGUUUGUGGAAACAUCUAGGUCAGACCCAUUCAGAGUUCUCCAACAGGAAAUUGAGCCCAGCACUCUGCUCUGAAAGGUGACCACCUGACAAAGCAUCCUCUUCUGUCCUUUCCAGGUCCCCUGGUUUGUGAUGCAGAGUCCUUCAUUGAGUUUCCAGUGCAACCCUUUCUGAUGAAUUCACCUCAGAGUCACUUUUACUACCAGGGGAUCCAUCAUAUUAAAAUGGCACUUAGGAGCUACGUGAGGCAGUGAGGAGGAGGGGAAUGGAAAGACUGAGCAGCAAGAAGAGAGGAGGGUGAGGUGGGAACCCUGAUGGCUGAGGGGAAAAAGUUAACUGAACUGCCUUGGAAAUAAGCUCCACGUAUUUUUGGAUCAAGCCUCAGUGUUCUAUCUAGUGUGUUUGACAGAUAGGGUGGAUUAUGUUUUAACUUUUCUUCCUCUACAUGGCAUAGUUAUUUUUGGGAAUAAUCAUGAAAUGAAACAAAUAAUUAAUAGCCAGGAAACUUUAAAUAGUGAACAUUUUCUUUUACUGACCCUUGUAUGGUCAUG